rnacentral:rRNA from 1 species
GUGGGGAAUAUUGGACAAUGGGCGAAAGCCUGAUCCAGCCAUGCCGCGUGUGUGAAGAAGGUCUUCGGAUUGUAAAGCACUUUAAGUUAGGAGGAAGGGUAGUAACCUAAUACCUUGCUGUUUUGACGUUACCGACAGAAUAAGCACCGGCUAACUUCGUGCCAGCAGCCGCGGUAAUACGAAGGGUGCAAGCGUUAAUCGGAAUUACUGGGCGUAAAGCGCGCGUAGGUGGUUUUGUAAGUUGGAGGUGAAAUCCCCGGGCUCAACCUGGGAACUGCCCCCAAAACUGCAUGACUAGAGUACGGUAGAGGGUAGUGGAAUUUCCUGUGUAGCGGUGAAAUGCGUAGAUAUAGGAAGGAACACCAGUGGCGAAGGCGACUACCUGGACUGAUACUGACACUGAGGUGCGAAAGCGUGGGGAGCAAACAGGAUUAGAUACCCGUGUAGUCC